UGAGGAUCUGAGGGCCCAUGCCAAACAUUUCAGCCUCCUGAGGGGGAAGAGGCAUUGUUGUGUCCUCUUCAUGACGGGGGAAGAGGCGUUGUCGUGCCCUCUUCAUGACUGGGGAAGAGGCGUUGUCGUGCCCUCUUCAUGACUGGGGAAGAGGCGUUGUCGUGCCCUCUUCAUGACGGGGGAAGAGGCGUUGUCGUGUCCUCUUCAUGACGGGGGAAGAGGCGUUGUUGUGCCCUCUUCAUGACGGUUGGUGUGUGUGGACCACGAUCCUUAGUGAUGUGGACACAGAGGAACUUGCAGCUCUCGAC
ensembl:lncRNA